GGCCCUGUAGUUCAACGGCAGAAUUCCGCGCUCUCGACGCGGAGACCGGAGAUCGUCACUCCGCAGGGUCA
rnacentral:tRNA from 2 species